UACGUAGGGACCAAGCGUUGUUCGGAUUUACUGGGCGUAAAGGGUGCGUAGGUGGCCAACUAAGUCGGACGUGAAAUCCCUCGGCUUAACCGGGGAACUGCGUCCGAUACUGGUUGGCUUGAGUUUGGGAGAGGGGUGCGGAAUUCCAGGUGUAGCGGUGAAAUGCGUAGAUAUCUGGAGGAACACCGGUGGCGAAGGCGGCAUCCUGGACCAAUACUGACGCUGAGGAGCGAAAGCCAGGGGAGCAAACGGG
rnacentral:rRNA from 1 species